UACGGAGGGGGCUAGCGUUGUUCGGAAUUACUGGGCGUAAAGCGCGCGUAGGCGGCUUAGCAAGUUAGAGGUGAAAGCCCGAAGCUCAACUUCGGAAUUGCCUUUAAAAACUGCAAGGCUAGAAUUGUGGAGAGGUGAGUGGAAUUCCGAGUGUAGAGGUGAAAUUCGUAGAUAUUCGGAAGAACACCAGUGGCGAAGGCGACUCACUGGACACAUAUUGACGCUGAGGUGCGAAAGCGUGGGGAGCAAACAGG
rnacentral:rRNA from 1 species